rnacentral:rRNA from 1 species
UACGUAGGUGGCAAGCGUUGUCCGGAUUUACUGGGUGUAAAGGGCGUGUAGGCGGAGCUGUAAGUCAGAUGUGAAAUCCCGGGGCUCAACCCCGGAACUGCAUUUGAAACUGUAGCCCUUGAGUAUCGGAGAGGCAGGCGGAAUUCCUAGUGUAGCGGUGAAAUGCGUAGAUAUUAGGAGGAACACCAGUGGCGAAGGCGGCCUGCUGGACGACAACUGACGCUGAGGCGCGAAAGCGUGGGGAGCAAACAGG